rnacentral:rRNA from 1 species
AACGAACGCUGGCGGCAUGCCUAACACAUGCAAGUCGAACGAGACCUUCGGGUCUAGUGGCGCACGGGUUCGUAACGCGUGGGAACCUGCCCUUAGGUUCGGAAUAACUCCCCGAAAGGGGUGCUAAUACCGGAUAAUGUCUUCGGACCAAAGAUUUAUCGCCUUUGGAUGGGCCCGCGUUGGAUUAGCUAGUUGGUAGGGUAAAAGCCUACCAAGGCGACGAUCCAUAGCUGGUCUGAGAGGAUGAUCAGCCACACUGGGACUGAGACACGGCCCAGACUCCUACGGGAGGCAGCGGUGGGGAAUAUUGGACAAUGGGCGAAAGCCUGAUCCAGCAAUGCCGCGUGAGUGAUGAAGGCCUUAGGGUUGUAAAGCUCUUUUACCCGGGAUGAUAAUGACAGUACCGGGAGAAUAAGCUCCGGCUAACUCCGUG